AAAAAAGAAAAAAAGACCAACAGACAAACAAUAGUGCACAAAACACAACAUAGAAAACUAACGACUGAGCAACACGAACCCUACCAAAAACUGGGGGUAAUCUUAGGUGGUCCAGAAGGGUGACAUCCGCCAUGUUGCUCAUGUACAAACCCGUUAAUAUGUCUAAUUCGGUAAGAAACAUUCAGGAAAAGGGGGUGGGAUUGCAGUUACGACAUUAGGGAC
rnacentral:lncRNA from 1 species